rnacentral:rRNA from 1 species
UGCAAGUCGAACGGAAGGGCCCUUCGGGGGUACUCGAGUGGCGAACGGGUGAGUAACACGUGGGUAAUCUGCCCUGCACUUCGGGAUAAGCCUGGGAAACUGGGUCUAAUACCGGAUAGGACCACUUGGCGCAUGCCUUGUGGUGGAAAGCUUUUGCGGUGUGGGAUGGGCCCGCGGCCUAUCAGCUUGUUGGUGGGGUGACGGCCUACCAAGGCGACGACGGGUAGCCGGCCUGAGAGGGUGUCCGGCCACACUGGGACUGAGAUACGGCCCAGACUCCUACGGGAGGCAGCAGUGGGGAAUAUUGCACAAUGGGCGCAAGCCUGAUGCAGCGACGCCGCGUGGGGGAUGACGGCCUUCGGGUUGUAAACCUCUUUCAGCAGGGACGAAGCGCAAGUGACGGUACCUGCAGAAGAAGCACCGGCCAACUACGUGCCAGCAGCCGCGGUAAUACGUAGGGUGCGAGCGUUGUCCGGAAUUACUGGGCGUAAAGAGCUCGUAGGUGGUUUGUCGCGUUGUUCGUGAAAACCGGGGGCUUAACCCUCGGCGUGCGGGCGAUACGGGCAGACUGGAGUACUGCAGGGGAGACUGGAAUUCCUGGUGUAGCGGUGGAAUGCGCAGAUAUCAGGAGGAACACCGGUGGCGAAGGCGGGUCUCUGGGCAGUAACUGACGCUGAGGAGCGAAAGCGUGGGGAGCGAACAGGAUUAGAUACCCUGGUAGUCCACGCCGUAAACGGUGGGUACUAGGUGUGGGUUUCCUUCCUUGGAAUCCGUGCCGUAGCUAACGCAUUAAGUACCCCGCCUGGGGAGUACGGCCGCAAGGCUAAAACUCAAAGGAAUUGACGGGGGCCCGCACAAGCGGCGGAGCAUGUGGAUUAAUUCGAUGCAACGCGAGAACCUUACCUGGGUUUGACAUGCACAGGACGCCGGCAGAGAUGUCGGUUCCCUUGUGGCCUGUGUGCAGGUGGUGCAUGGCUGUCGUCAGCUCGUGUCGUGAGAUGUUGGGUUAAGUCCCGCAACGAGCGCAACCCUUGUCUCAUGUUGCCAGCGGGUAAUGCCGGGGACUCGUGAGAGACUGCCGGGGUCAACUCGGAGGAAGGUGGGGAUGACGUCAAGUCAUCAUGCCCCUUAUGUCCAGGGCUUCACACAUGCUACAAUGGCCGGUACAAAGGGCUGCGAUGCCGCAAGGUUAAGCGAAUCCUUUUAAAGCCGGUCUCAGUUCGGAUCGGGGUCUGCAACUCGACCCCGUGAAGUCGGAGUCGCUAGUAAUCGCAGAUCAGCAACGCUGCGGUGAAUACGUUCCCGGGCCUUGUACACACCGCCCGUCACGUCAUGAAAGUCGGUAACACCCGAAGCCAGUGGCCUAACCUUUUGGAGGGAGCUGUCGAAGGUGGGAUCGGCGAUUGGGACGAAGUCG